UGUGUGUGUAUGUGUGUGUAAUGUGAAAUAAGAAGCAGGCAUGAAAACAGGUCAGGGGUGAAAAAGGUGAGAAGGAUAUUACCCCUCUAGGGGGGUCCGGGGGCAUGCUCCCCCGGAAGAAAAUUUUAAAUAUUCCAUAUU